GGCACUUGACUCAUUAGAAAAUUACCAUAGUCUGUUGCGCUGGCCAUCUGUGAUUUUUCGACUUUGCAAUGAUUUUAGUACUUCAAAGGCUGAGCUAGAAAGAGGUGAAACCGCGAGUUCAAUAUUAUGCUAUAUACAUGAAAUGGGCGUAUCCGAGGAAAUAGCUCGGGAAGAAAUAAGGAAGUUCAUUGAGAAAGCUUGGAACAAAAUGAAUAAGGAUCUGAAUAAUAAGCAUCCAUUUGCAGAAGCUUUCGUAGAAACAGCUUUUAAUCUCGGUCGGAUAGUCCAUUGCACAUACCAACAUGGAGAUUCGCAUGGAGCUCCUGA